AAAUAAAAAAUAUUUCAAUUGCCUUAUUUUAUUUUAUUACCAAUAUUUUAAAGUACAAAGUCUUACAUGUAUGGUCUGUGAAAUUUUGUAAGGAAAAAUAAAAAGUACAUUUAUUAUGGUUAGUACAACAAUUCAUUGGCAACUAAGGAAUAUUUUAUUAUAAAGUUGUGUAAGAACUCAUUUUUUCAUGUAUUGAUCCUGACUUCUUUCUUUCUUAGAAAUUGACAUAGAUUGUCAAUGCACUUCACGCCGUGAGAUUUAUUAAUACUAGGAAACACUUUUUGACAAUAUUCAUCUGUUUCACAUUUAACUCUUACUGUAAUAAAAGAACAAAAUAGAGAAUAAUAUUAAUAGAAAAAAAAUAAAAAAUUGAGUUCAAAGUAAAAAAGGUAAAGAUCAAAAUUUGAAAAGGUUAGAAAAAUAUCUUACGGCAAAUGUUUCUUUCAAUAAAAAAUACAGCAAUGAAUAAAAUCAUAAAAUGAACAAUAUUGAGAAAUUUAGUCUCAUCUUUCUCUUUUUGCAUGUUAUAGAUAUAAUAUGAUUGAUCAAUUUAUAGUGUAUAAACUUAUCCUAAGUUAAAAUAAAUUAAUUAUUUUUAGCCCUUGAGAAGUAUGGAAAAACAUCUUUAAAUUGCUAAUGUGUAUAUUUUUAUUAGAUUAAUAUGUUAUGAUUGUCCUUUGACACAUUAAAGAGUAACAUGCAAAACUUUCUUAUCAUUAGAAUUCACUCUUCUUAAAUUAAUAGAUAAAUAAUAUUUUAUUUAUUUCUAAAAUAGUUACAAACGCAUAGUUUACCGAUAGUUAAACUUAUUGUAAGUUUCUUUAUAGAUAAAAUCAUUUGAUUUUAGGAAAUGAAUAUUAAAUUUUGCAGUUAUUUGAUUUUAGGGUUGGGGAAUUCGAAUCAUUCCCAACUCGGUUCAAUUCGAUAAGAAUUAGUCCAACUCAAAAUUUGACUCGAGUUCAAUCCGAUUUUUUUAAAGGUUAAGUUCAACUUAUUUUAAGUUCACAAAAAUAAUUUAUUUCAAUUCGAUAGAUUCAUCUUGUUAGGUUCAAUUGUAUGCUCUAUAGGUUAAAAAGCCAUAUUUUUAAAUAUUAAUAUAUAUUUUUUUUAUAUUUGACAUUUUAAAUUAAUAAUUUUUUUAAAAGGAAAAUAUUUAAAUAAAAUGAUAAUUAUAAGAUUGAAAUUUAACUUUUUCUCAAAAAAAUUUAAUGUUUUAUUUAUUAGAAGAACUUUAUUAAACAAAGGAGUUUAAUUUUUAAUCACCCUAUACAAUUUUUUUUAUAUGAUGAUGAAUUUAUUUGUGUAAUUAUUUUUAAAUAUAUUUUGUUAACUUGGGAAUAUAAAUUAUCAAUUAAAACCGUCAAAUUAAAAGAAAAAUUAGAAGAUUUAUAGUAAGUUUUUAAACAUAUUCUUAGAGCCAAUAUAAUUCAUCUCAUAUAUAAUCGAGUUGAUUCAUGAACCUAAUGAGUUGAGCUAUACAUAGUUCAAAUCUACCUCAUUUAAUUAACAAACUUAAUUUUUUGUUCAUAUUCAGCUCAUUUAGUUCAUGAACCUAGUUCAAUGAUUUAGUUUUCGAAUUGAGUUUUGAAUUAUGUUUGAAUUUGUCUGGUGCAUGCAUAGCUCUAUUUGAUUUCAUAACAUUAUCAUUCACAUAAAUCCUGUAACAUUCCAUAUAAUAUAUAUCUAGAGUAAUAUCAUACAAGUUUUAUUAUUUUUUUGGUAUUGUCACAACAUAAGUGUCUAACAACAUCUUUAUAUACUUGCCCAUAAAAUAAAAUACAACAUAUCGAAUAUGUCAUGCGAUAGUGCCUAAAUAAAGAUCUAAGAACUAUGUACAAUAUCUACAAUUGUACAAAUCUACUGUAGAAGAUCAUAAUAAAAUCUUUCCUUGAAACAUCAAUGCACAACUCCUCUUGUACAAUAUAUCCUAUAAACAAUACUUGGAAAAAAACCAAUAAUAUUGGGGUGAGAUAAUAAUCUCAGUGAGUUAUCCUAUCUUAUGGGUUCACUCGGCUCUAUAGAGUUUUCUAAUCGAUUUCCUAACUCAAGUCACAAAGGGGGAAAACUGGAGUUCCCAAAACUCGCAAUGUAUAGAAAUACGCCUCUUGAGUUCAUCGACUCAAACAAUCAAUAAUCGGAAACCAUUACAAGGUAUGUUCCCCCAUCCAACCCUACGUCUAGGAUUAUCGACAUGGGUCACGAAUCCUUGUAUAUACUUUGAAAUAUGCACAGACUUCCGAUUCUAAGUGAUCACAUCCACUUCAAGAAUCGCCGCUUCCUAUGGGACUCAAAACUCAUUUCAAGACUUUUACUCGUAUGGGACUCACCCCACUUUGGGAUCUACCGUCUUUGGAACUCACGCCCAGGUCAUAAGUAUUGGUGCGUACGUCCCAAUUCUUACUCUAUAUGAGCAUCACAACUUGGGACAACACAAUUAACGAGUUAUUUUUGACUACGUGACAAGAUAGAAAUACAACGUAAUUGUAUUCAAAAAUCACAAGGUAGUCACGUUCAUCUUCAUCAAACAACAAUACAACAUGUUCCAUACAAUGCAUCCCACUCUCAACUAUGGCAACCAUCCAUCCAUGACACUCAACCAGGUAUCAUAUAGAAUAAACGUCCCCAUCUAACAUUAUUUAAGCCAUAUGUCUAACUUCUUACCCUAAUUAGAACUCUAAGUUAACUCACAUUGUUCAUCACGUUUCUCUCUCAUCUAUUGUUAAUUUAACACAUACAUAUCAGAACAUAUGUCAUAAGGCACACAUAUGGAAAAGAUAGCAUAUUCCAUUUAUCCCAAACAAAACGUAAUAAAUUAUCAUGAUCAUAUAAAGCUUUAAACAAGCUUUCUAAUGCAUUUGACCGCACAUCGAACGGAUUUAUGAAACUCAAGUUAUGCCACAAACAAUACAGAGGGAAAACACAAAAACCAGUUAACCGCGCUAAGCGCCACCUGAGCCUGCUAUUGUGAUUUGAGAAUGUUAUGUGGAGAAUUGUGGCAUCCUUUUUGAGUAUUUUAUUAUGCAUGUUUUAUAAAUUAAGUGUUUGGGGUUUAUGGUUAUACAACCAGACCCCAACCAUAUACAACUGAUCAAAGUAUUUCAUUUCCCUUAAGCGGUGAGCGAUCGUCCUCUUGAUUUCCGCUACGUCGUUGGCUCCUUUUCUUCGAACAAUAAUUGAAUUUGUUUCUUAGCCUAGCAAUCGAAAUCUUUCAAAUAUAUAUUCAAAUAAACAAAAAAGUAUUUAGACAAAUAAAUCAAACAAUGCAAGCACAAAUAAACCUUCGACAUCAUAUAUAAGACCUAUAGCAACUUAUUAAGCUCAUGAUAACGGUCCUAAAGUAUCUUAAAUUAUUUUAUGCUAACCGUCCCAACGUAUAUAGAUAUUUCCCCCAUAUUUUGUUGUUAAGCAUUGUUGAAAGUCCACGACUGCUUCCUCCGAUCUUUGACAAGAACUUAAUUUCAGUAACCGUUGAAUUGUACAAAAUUUAUAAAAUAAUGAGAAUAUAAUUUACGCAUAAUUAUAUAAAAUUGUUACAACUUGAAAUAUUUACUUUAAAAUAUUUAAUACUAACCUCCACUAUAUUUGAAUAAUUAUUAAACUCAAAUAUAAAUUAGACUAUAGCCUGUUUGGAUUUGUUGAUUUUAGAAAAUUAUCAAGAGUAUAUUCCUAAUAACCUUUUAAUUUUAUAAUAACACUUGAGCAUUAUAAUGACUUAAAAUGGUAAAAUUUAUCUUUUAUUAGGAUAUCAACUUGGACUUUAUAAGUUCAAUACCUCUAUGGUGAAUGGAAACUUAAAUAGAAUAUUUAAAAUAACCUUAUAUGAAUAAAAUAAUUAAAUUAAUAUAAUUAAAAUAAAAUGGACAUUAUAACGAUUUACCAGUUACUUAUGAAAAUAAUUGUGGCAGAAAUUAAGCGUAUAAAAUCAAACUCCUUUGAAAUUUUAGAAGCAUUUUGACCAUAUUAUAACUCUAAAAGCUAUGAACCAAUACUGUGAAAACCUCGAUAACAAAAACUAAUAUCGCUAUAUGAAGAAAAUAGAAAAAGAGAGAAAUAGAAUGGUGAGAGAGAUGAAUUGUGAAUGGAUAUAUAUAUAUAUAUAUAUAUAUAUAUAUAUAUAUAUAUAUAUAUAUAUAUAUAUAUUAAUAUAUAUAUAUAUAUAUAUAUAUUAUAUAUAUAUACUUAAUAUAAUAUAUAUAUAUAUAUAUAUAGUUGAAGUAUAUUGAUAUUUUUGUUAAGGUAGGUUGAUAAAUAUUGUUGUUGAGGUGUCUUAGAUAAACAUUAUGGUUUAUUUAUUGGAUGAUGUGUUUUUAUAUGUAUGCUAUUAUUUAUGUUUUUCUUAAUGUUAUUACUUAUACAUUGCAGUUAUCAUUUUUUUCAACCAAUAUUUUUAGAAGAUGAGUUUAUUAUAUUGUAUAUGAUUUGACUGUUUUACCAACCUACCAUUAAAUAUAUAACCUUUUGAAUUGAAUUAGAAAAUAAUAAUAUGAAAAAUUAAGUUAUAUUAAAAAACAACUUACAUCGAUCAAUAUUUUACGAGCUUUCUUUAGUUUGUUGUCCAUAUAUAUCGCUCUUUGAUGGUUAUAAUUUGGUUUAAUGCUUGUAUUUUUUAAAUCUACACUUUUUUUACUAAUCCAUUCUGAAAAAUUGUUAAUACUUUGCAGAAUAAAUUAAAAGAGAAAGAAGUGUUGGUUGAAGAAUUAUAAGCAUUGAAUCAAAUUUUAACCGUUAAAGAAGGAGAUAUAGAUAAUGGAUUAUAGAAAGAUCGAAAAAUAUUUAUUAAUGUAACUUGUUCUACUAAUAUUACUCAAUUUGUCAUUUUAUUAAUAUCUAAUUAGAGUGAAAUGUUAUAUGUUUAUUGAGAAUUUAAUGAAAUAAGAAUUUCACAUAUUUUACAAUCAGACUUCAAAAAAAACUGUAAAACAAACAAAGAGUAAGCACGGAAUAAAGAAAGUCAGAGUAUAAAGAAAGAAAUACAUCAUAAGUAAAUAAAUGGCUAAAAUGUACACAAAUAAGGAUACAGAAAGAUGCACUAUAGGUUUAUAGAGGUUCGACUUAAUCACUUGACUUACUCAUCUCCUUGAAAAUUUAUUCUUGAGAGUUUAAAACCAGACUUUAGAAAAAGUUUGUAAAACAAACAUGAAAUAAGCAGUGGAAUAUAGAAAAUGGAGUAGAAACAAAGACGUACAUGAAAAGUAAAUUAAUUACUAAAAUAUAAAUAAAUAAGGGUAGAGAAAGAUGCACCAGCAGUUUAUAGAGGUUCGACUUAACCACUUGACCUACUCAUCUCCCCAAAAAAAAAUUCUUGAGAGUUUCCACUAUGUUGUGAGGUUUUUAGAAGUUUUUCCCACGAAUCUCCUUAAAAACAAACUUAAGUUUUAAAAUGGAUAAUCUCUAAACUAAACUGAGAGUUUUUUCCCACAAAAUGUUGUACAAGAUUAAUCCCAAACAAGAUAAGAGAUUUUAUACCAAGCGUAGCUCAGGAACCAAGUGGAGGUUUUAACGAAUAGGCGAAGCUCACGAACUAUGUGGAUAUUUCAACAGACAAUCUCUUGAAUGAAACAAGAUCUUUUACAAUAGGAAAAGUUCAAGAACAAAAAGUGAUAUUUGAACGGACAAUCCCAUAAACCAAACAAGAGCUUUUUAACUUGGUUUUGAUCAUAAUCAAACUAAAAAUAUCACAAGAAAUAUUACAAAAUUACCCUCACACCCGAACCAAAUAACUCACAUGUAAAUUUCACUCUCAAAUCACUACGGUAAAAGUGAGGAAGAACUAAAGAGAGAGAAGAGAGUGAAUAAUGAGAAAGAGUAGUCAAAAUACAUUUUCUUGUAUGUAAGAAAUGAGAAAUAAGCCUUCACAUUUUCUAGUAUGUAAGAAAUGAGAAAUCAACCUUCUAUUUAUAGGACAAAGUGUGAUACAGAAAUGGAAAGAAUCCAUGCACUUUUUAAUAUUCACAACCGAUAAUGCAUAUGACAUAAUCGAUUAUGCAAUUCAAAUAUUUAAUGUUUUUAAAUGACGCUUUCACUUAUCAAUUGUAGCUCUGUCUAAUCGAUUAGGGUUACAUAAGUGAUAAUUGACUAAUCAAGUAUGAUAAUCAAUUAUGUCAUGUAAAAAUUCUCUUAGUUGAUUAGAAUGUGUCUGUAAUUCAUUACCUAGGCACAAAAAGGUUUUCAAGUAGUUUUACUAAAAUUGGAGAGGAUUUUUUAUCAUUCAAAGUGUGUAAACGCACUACUAGGUGUGGCAAAAUGGGUCGGCCUGCUGGGCAUGCCCAUUUUGCCCGAGUUUUGUGCGGGGCGGGCUAAGGAUUUAUGCCCUCACCCUCAAAUGUGUCCGCCCCGCCCCGCCACGCCCCGCUCUGUUUUUUUUCCGGGUUUUACGGGCACGUGUGUUUACAUAAUUUUUUGUAUUUUUAGGCUUAAAGGAGUGCAGUGCUCGCAGACUUUUCCCGCCCCGCCCUCACUUUUUUGCGGCGCGGGUCCACUACGCCAAAAACUGGAAUAGACAGCGCACCUUAGAGGGCGCUUUAUUACAAAAGCGAUCUCUAAAGUGAAGCGAAAAAAUAAGGAGCAAUAGACAGCGCACUUUAGAGGGCGCUUUUGUAAUAAAGCGUCCUCUAAGGUGAAGCGAAAAAAUAAGGAGGAGAUAGAGGGACAACAAUACAUGGCGCUUUUUAGAAAGCGCCCUCUAAGGUUACCCUUAGAGGGCGCUUUUAAUAAGCGCUGUUAUAAGUCCAUGUGCAUUUCCAGCUUAUAAAACGCUUCUGGAAAGCCUUAGAGAGCGCUUCCAUAAGCGCCUCUUAGGCCCCCUUUAGAGGGCGCUUUUUUUCCACAAGCGCCCUCUAAGGUCCCCUUUAGUAAACAUUAAAAUUAAACAUACUGCGAUUUUGUUAUUUCACUCUCUGUUAUUUUCGUUCUUUUUCACGUUAGGGUUCUAAGGGCGUUCUCCUUCCACCUCUGUUAGAUCUACGACGUUUCCUCCUUCUACCAUCAAAGGUACACGAUGCAUACAUUAUUACUUGCACUAUUGCUUUGUUUUAGCUUUGCCCCAUUUCAGUUUUAUGUUAUUGUUGUCUAUGCUACGUUUGUUCGACCUGUAAAGUUUCAAUAUUCAUAAUCAUUUAAAUAGUUUGGGUUAUUAGGCAAUUGACGGUUGGUUUUUAGUGACCAUGAUAGCGCAUGCAAUGGGACUACAUUACCCAGUAGUUAGGGUUAUACGACCUAUGAACAUCUGAUUUUUGUGUCAACACAGUAUCAUUAGAAACCUAGUCCGAAUGUGUUUGAAUUCUUCAUUAACAGCCAACCAGUACAUAGCGUAGCUAGUAACUUAAGAAGUUUAGGUAUGGAUGUAUUUGAUAGAGUAAAUGGAGACAUGAAUGCCCUGCACAGAGUAUCUUCUGAAAUUGGUUUCUCUUCUGAAAUUGUUUUUUGUUUAUUCUAAUUAGUAAUGGAUAAUACAUGGAUGUCUUCCAAUCGAUUGUCGAGAGAGUACGAGAAUGGGGUAUCAGAAUUCGUUAAGUUUGCCGUUGCGCACGCCGAGAGACCCCAAUAGAAUGAUAUGUCCUUGCUUGGGUAUUGUUAUGGGAACGGGUUGACGCAGUUCAGUUGACAUCGCAUCUAAUGAGGCAUGGAAUUGAUCGAAGUUAUACAUGUUGGAAUUUGCAUGGUGAGAAAAGUACGAGAAUGUUGAACCGGGGAAUAGUACGACCUAUGCCUCAAACUAUAGUGGUGCAGAUACAACGAUUGUGAUCGAGUUGAAGAGAUUGCAGAAGCACUUGAAGGAGAUCUUAAGGAUUGUCCCGAAAUGUUUGAGAGGUUUGUAAGUGAUGCAGAGAAACCUUUGUAUGAUGGUUGCACUAAAUUCACAAGAUUGUCUGCAGUAUAAAGUUGUACAACUUAAAGGCGGGCAAUGGAUGGUCGAAUAAAAGUUUCACAGAGUUAUUAGGCCUUUUGAAAGAUAUGCUUCUGAGGAUAAUGUUCUUCCCAAUCAAACAUAUGAGACCAAAAAGAUGUUGUGCUCUAUUGGCAUGAGCUAUGAUAAGAUACAUGCAUGUCCAAACGAUUGCGUUUUGUUUCGAAAUGAGUAUGCAUCGUUAAAUGGGUGUCCUAAAUGCGGUGUCUCGCGAUAUAAAAACAAGUUGUCUCCAGCAAAAGUCUUGUGGUAUUUCCUGUUAUUCCGAGAUUUAGACGCAUGUUUCGUAGUGAAACCGAUUCAAGACACUUGACCUGGCAUGCAGAUGAAAGAAUUAUAGAUGGAAAGUAUCGACAUCCGGCAGAUUCACCACAGUGGUUGAAAAUUGAUAAUGAUUACCUGAAUUUGGAGAAGAUCAAGAAACCUUCGCUUGGCAUUAUCUACUGAUGGAAUGAACCCACACGGUAUCCAGAGUAUCUCACACAGUACAAUGGCCUGUGAUAUUAUGAUUUAUAACCUACCUCCAUGGCUAUGUAUGAAGCGUAAGUACAUGAGUUGUCUAUGUUGAUUUCUGGACCUAACAACCAGGGAAUGACAUAGACGUGUACUUGAAGCCCUUAAUCGAAGAUUUAAAGAUUUGUGGGAGACCGGUGUGGAGGUUUAUGAUGGAUAUAGGAAAGAAAGUUUCAACUUGAGGGCGAUGUUGUUUGGCACAAUUAAUGAUUUUCCCAGCAUACGGAAAUCUAUCAGGGUAUAGCAUAAAAGGUCAAUGUGCGUGUCCUAUUUGUGAAGAUAAAACAGAUUGGAAGCGCUUGGAGUUUGGUCAAGAAGAAUGUCUUUCUCGGUCAUCGGAGAUUCUUAAAUCAAAUCAUCACUACCGUGGAUGGAGAAAGGCGUUCAAUGGAGAGACAGAACAAGGCAGACGCUCCAACCUAUAUUGACGGGUGUCAAUUUUUGAAAAGGUGAAAGAUUUGGAUACUCAGUUUGGCAAGCCUUUUGCCCACACACUUGUCAAAGUGGGUGGAAGAAGAGGUCAGUUUUUUUUGAAUUGCCGUUUUGGAAGUCCUUGUAUGUGAGACAUUUUCUUGAUGUUAUUGCAUAUUGAAAAAAAAUGUAUUUGAAAGUGUUAUUGCACGUUACUCAAUAUACAAGGAAAGUCUAAGGAUGGCCUUAAGGCAAGAAAGGACUUGAUAGCGAUGGGAAUAAGAACUGAAUUAGGACCCUUGAAGAAAGGAAGACGAAACAUAUCUACCGCCUGCUGCUUAUACUCUAUCUAGAAAGGAGAAAAAACAUUGUGUAAGUUCUAGUGAAGUUAAAGUUCCAGAAGGGUACUUUCAGAUAUUAGAAGACUUGUGUCUAUGAAAGACCUCAAGUUAAAGAGUUUAAAGACCCAUGAUUGCCAUGUUAUAAUGGAACAUUUUCUCCCAAUAGGUAUACGUUCUAUUCUUCCAGAAAAAGUAAGAAGCUCUAUAACUAAGUUGUGUUCUUUCUUCAAGUCAAUUUGCAGUAAGGUGAUCAAUCCUGCGAUCUUACCAAUGUUGCAAAAAGAAAUCGUUAUUACUUUGUAUGAGCUUGAAAUGUUUUUUCCUCCAUCAUUUUUUGACAUAAUGGUACAUCUAGUUGUUCAUCUUGUGAAAGAGACACAAUUGUGUGGACCAGCUUAUAUGAGAUGGAUGUACCCUAUUGAACGUCAUAUGAAAAUAUUAAAAGGGUACGUGAAGAACGCGAAGUCGACCAGAAGGUUGUAUGGUUGAAAGAUACAUUGUUGAAGAAGCGCGAUUGAGUUUUGUACUGAAUAUUUGUCUAAUGUUCAGUCAUUCGACUCCCUAAGUCUCAACUUGUCGAAAAGAAAGAAGGAAAAAAUCUAAUUGGAAAUAAAAUCGUGCAGUAUCAGGGUCGAACGGGAUCAAUGCAUUUGUAUGUUCUGCACAAUGAGAAUGAGGUUGAGCCGUAUGUUGAAAUUCACAAGGAUGUUCUCUGAGGUUUAAAAUCCCAAUAGAAAUGAAAAUUGGAUAGUACGGAGAGCACAAUCGAUGUUUUUAUACCUUGGUUUAAGGAUCAUAUUUAUUCAAAGUAUUAUUCAGAUCCCGCUUCAAUAACAGAAAGUGUUGAGAUGCUUAGCAUAUGGUCCAAGUUUCCAUGUUUUUUCUAUAGCGCAUACGCGAUUAAUGGAUACACAUUUUAUACCAAAGAACAAGAUGAUAAAAGUACUAUGCAAAAUAGUGUGUCACCGUGGUAGCUGAAGCAAUGCACAUAUCAAGUGUGAAGGACUUAACCCCAAAUUUGCAAAUCUGUCGUAUUUUGGUGUUAUCGAGCGCAUUUGGGUGUUUGAUUAUGAGAAGUUUCAGAUCCUAUAUUUGGUUGCAAGUGGGUUGAAAACAAUAACGGCAUUCGAAUGGAUAAGUCAGGAUUUUGCAAGUGGAUAUUAAUGAGGUGGGAUACAAAGAUGAGUCUUUUAUUCUAGUCUCUCAAGCUAGACAAGUGUUCUUGUCAUGAUCCGAAAGUACGAAAUGGUCUAUAGUUCUUUUUCCAACAAAGUAAUUGAUGAAAACACUGGAGAUCAAGGUGAUAUUGAUGUUGAGAUUGAGUCGUUUACCAGAAAUGAUCAAGAUGAGAAUAUAUAUCAAAUGAUUCAUAUAUUAGAAAUGAUCAUAAUGAGGGUAUUUGGAUCAAUCCAACCGUCCGUGUUGUUAAGAGACAUGUAGAACAUAUUCCAACAAAGAAAAGAAAGAGAACUUAGUGAAAAGGUACAGGUCAAAUGAUUUUAAUUGUUUUCUUUAUUACAGGUAAAAUGACUUUUAUGAUUUUAAUUGUUUUUACAUUUUGUCAUCUGAUUUUAAUUGUUUUCUUUAUUACAGGUAAAAUGGCUAUUAUGAAGUCAAUCAUUCGUGCAAGGGGCAAGGAUACUUGAAAGUAUCAAUUGAUAUGUGUUUAGAUGGAGAUGUUCAUUGUCGUCAAGCCUCAUUCGCGUAGAUGAUGAAUGCUGGAUAUUUGAAGUAUCCCUCUACGACAAUGGAACAUGUCCAUCUAAACAAAUAUCAAUUCUAUCUUCAAAAGAUAGGACCAAAAAAUAUAUAAGGGGAUUACGCAGCAAUCGAGUCAGUUGCAUAAAAAAAAAGGUAUAAACACAAUUAUAAUAUUUUAUGCAUAGAAAAUGUUAAUUCUUGAUCUUAACAUCACCUAACUAAUUUUAUGAUUAUUUUAGGUUCAUGCUAUUGAUAUUGAACAAAAAAGAGGUUGUUGCUAAGAAGACUGCUGCUAGCAAAAAAAACAUACAUCUCAGAGAUGCUUUUGCUACUUAGUUUUAUUUCUUUUUAAAGUUAUGAAUUGGUUGUAUAUUUAGAAUCUUUGAAGUUAAAACGAUUAUGUAUCAGGGGAUGUUGUAUAUGUAUGGAUUGUUGUAUAUAAGGCUGUUGAAUGCAAUGUGUGAAAAAGGGCUUCAAAUAUACAGUUUUGGGUGUACUGCUUCAUAUAAUACAGGUUGGUCUAAAAUAAAUAAAAAAAUAUAGCGCUUUUUAAAAAAAAAAUUAAUUAAAUAACCACCCACUUUAGAGGGCGCUUCCCAAAAUAAAGCGCCCUCUAAACCCUUUAAAUUUCCACUUUAGAGGGCCGCUUUCAGUAAAAGCGCCCUCUAACCCAAAAAGUUUCCACUUUAAGAGGGCGGUUUCUAGUAAAAGGCGUCCUCUAAACCCUUAAAUGUUUCCACUUUAGAGGGCGGCUUCUUUAAAAAAGCUCCCUCUAAAGUGGCCCAUAAAGGGCUUAAAGAGCCACUUAAGACAGCGCUUUCACCAGGAAAAAAAGUGUUGUCUUUACUAUGCCAGCCGCAGAUUAGAGGGCGCUUUAAAGCGCUGUUAUAGGCCAAAAAAGCGCCCUCUUUUCCCUUAUUUGGCGUAGUGGUCUAAUUUUUAGGCCCCGCAUCCCUCAACUAUCACACCGCCCCGCCUCGUCCCGUUUUUUUGCGGGAUUUUACGGGACGGACAUAUAACGGGACGGAUAUGCCCGUUUGCCACAUUACGCACUACUGUAUCAAUAAAUAUAUAAUAUAGAUCAUUGUCUAAUUUCUCAUAGACUGUCAACGAAUAUAUACAACAAAUUACCCAAACUACCCAAACUACAUGCCUAAAGAUUAAGAGAUUAUUGAUGAGAAGUUACGUAUGAGCUAAUGUUAUUAAAAUAUAACAUUCUAGGAGCUACGUAUUUUGUCAGCUAAUGACAUAGUCAAUUACAUCAGUUAAUUGUUGUUAAUAAUUACAUACUAAAAACAACAGUUAAUUAUUAACACAUAAAAAUGGGACUGCAUGAUGCAAACACAACUGUCAUGGUAAGUUAAUCAUGCAAAAGGGGACAAACCAAUCACUGCUCAUGAUUUUUUAUGGAAAAUUGUCUUCUUUGUGAAAACACACUAUAAAAAAUGUGUUUUAUUACGAGGAUUUUCAAUCCCAAAAAAUUGUAUUACCGGAGUUUUGAAAACCGCCGUUAAUACCACCGUUCCCAAAUAUAUUCGCAAGAAUUUUAGGUAACCGCUGAUAUCCUAUUUAAACUGGAGAAAUUUAUAUUUUGAAGGUCGAAAACUCUUGUAAAUUAUUAUUAAUGUGAAAAAAAAUAACAACUCUUUAGAUUUCAUUGGAAAUAUAAUUAUGACAAAAUCAAAUGAUAUGUAUAUAAAAAUUACGCUGAUACAACUGAAAAUUCUUAAUGGCCAAAAUAAAAUAUAAUCCUAAAUAAAGAACAAUAAACAUUCCAAGAAUGAAACAAAUCAUACUCAACAUAACUUUACAACAUAUCAAGUAUUAAGUAUUAUGUAAUAUCUUAUUAUUUCAUGAAAGAAAACUCUAGUUCCAAGAAGUUACAAUGAUCGUUUUUUAUUACAUCAUAAAAGAAACGUCAUUAUAAAGAGUUUGCAAAGAAAAGCUACAUGAAUAAAUGAAUUUUUCCAUUUCUAAAAUAAUAAAAGUUAUUACUAUAAUAGGAAGCUCCAAUUAGAUUAUAAAAUAUAAGUAAACUUUCAUUGCUGGUGGCAACUCCUGGUUCUUGUUCCUUUACUCUGGAAGAAUGUUCUUUACAGAUGAAGUUUCUAAGAUCACUUGUAAUGCUUAACAUAUAUUAUCAAAGAAAAAUAAAUAAAUAAAUAUUUCAAUUGCCUUUGUUUCUCUUCUUGAAAUUGUUUUUUGUUUUUAUUCUAAUUAGUUAAUGGAAUAAUACAUGAGCCUCCAAUCGAUUUGUCGAGAGAGUACGAGGCAUGGGUAUCAAAUUCGUUAAAGUUUGCCGUUGCGCACGCCGAAGAACCCAAUAGAAUGAUAUGUCUUGCUUGCGGUUUAUUGUUAUGGGAAACGGGUUGACGCAGUUCAGUUGGACAUCGCAUUCUACAUGAGGCAUGGAUUUGAUCGAAGUUAUAACAUGUUGAAUUUGGCAUGGUGAGAAAAGUACGAUGAAAUCGUUGAACCGGGGGAUUAUACGAACCUAUGCCUCAAACUAUAGUGGUGCGAUAAUACGAUUGUUGAUCGAGUUGAAGAGAUUGCAGAAGCACUUGGAAGGAGAUCUUAAGGAUUGUCCCGACAUGUUUGAGAGGUUUGUAAGUGAUGCAGAGAAACCCUUGUUAUGAUGGUUCACUAAAUUGCAGCAAGAUUGUCUGGCAGUAUUAGUUGUACAACUUAAAGGCGGGCAAUGGAUGUCGAAUAAAAGUUUCACAGGAGUUACUUUUAGGCCUUUUGAAAGAAUAUGCUCCUGGGAUAAAUGUUCCUUUCCCAAUCAAACAUAUGAGACCAAAAAAGAUGUGUGCUCUAUUGGCAUGAGCUAUGAAUUAAGAUACAUGCAUGUCCAAACGGAUUGCGUUUUGUUUCGAAUGAGUAUGCAUCGUUAAAUGAGUGUCGCCUAAAUGCGGUGUCUCGCGAAUAUAAGAACAAGUUGGUCUCCAGCAAAAGUCUUUGUGGUAUUUCCUGUUAUUCCGAAUUUUAGACGCAUGUUUCGUAGUGAAACCCGAUUCAAGACACUUGACCUGGCAUGUGCAGAUGAAAAGAAUUAUAGAUGGAAAGUAUCAGACAUCUCGGCAGAUCUCACCACAGUGCGUUGAAAAUUGAUAUAUGGAUUAUCUGAAUUUGGAUGAAGAAUCAGAAAACCUUCGCUUGGCAUUAUCUACUGAUGGAAUGAACCCACACGGUAUCCCAGGAGUUAUCUCACACAGUACAUAUGGCCUGUGAUAUUUAUGAUUUAUAACCUACCCUCCAAUGGCUAUGUAAUGAAGCGUAAGUACAUGAUGUUGUCUUAUGUUGAUUUUUGACCUAAACAACCAGGAGAAUGACAUAGACUUGUCACUUGAAGCCUUAAUCGAAGAUUUAAAAGAUUUUGUGGGAGAACCGGUGUGGAGGUUUUAUGAUGGAUAUAGGAAAGAAAAGUUUCAACUUGAGGGCGAUGUUGUUUGGGCACUAUUAAUGAUUUUCCAGCAUACGGAAAUCUAUCAGGGUUAUAGCAUAAAAGGUCAAUGUGCGUGUCCUAUUUGUGAAGAUAAAACAGAUUGGAUAGCGCUUGGAGUUUGGUCAGAAGAAUGUCUUUCUCGGUCAUUCGAGAUUCUUAAAUUCAAAUCAUCAACUACCGUUGGAUGGAGAAAGGCGUUCAAUGGAGAGACAGAACAAGGCAGAGCCCUCCACCUUAUUAUGACGGGAUCAAAUUUUUGAAAAGGUGAAAAGAUUUUGGUACUCAGUUUGGCCAGCCUUUUUGCCCACAACACUUGUCAAAAUGGGUGGAAGAGAGGUCUAGUUUUUUUUUGAAUUGCCGUAUUGGAGUCCUUGUAUGUGAGACAUUUUCUUUGAUGUUAUGCAUAUGAAAAAAAAUGGUAUUUGAAAGUGUUAUUGCACGUUUAAACUCAAUAUACAAGGAAAGUCUCAAGGAAUGGCCUUAAGGCACCAGAAAAGGAAUUUGAAUGGCGAUGGGAAUAAGAACUGAAAUUAGACCCUUUGAGAAAGGAAGACGAAAAAUAUCUACCGCCUGCUGCUUAUACUUCUAUUACUAGAAAGGAGAAAAACAUAUGUGUAAGUUUCUAAGUGAAGUUAAAAGUUCCAGGAAGGGUACUCUUCAGAUAUUAGAAGACUUGUGUUCUAUGAAAGAACGCGUCAAGUUAAAGAGUUUAAAGACCGCGGCAUGAUUGCCAUGUAAAAUAAUGGAACAUUUUCCUCCAACUAGGUAUUCGUUCUAUUCUUCCAGAAAAAGUAGAAGCUCUAUAAACUAAGUUGUGUUCUUUCUUCAAGUCAAUUUGCAGUAAGCGUGAUCAAUCCUGCCGAUCUUACCAAAUGUUGCAAAAAGAAAUCGUUAUUACUUUGUAUGAGGCUUGAAAUGUUUUUUCCUCCAUCAUUUUUUUUGACAUAAUGGUCACAUACUAGUUGUUCAUCUUGUGAAAGAGACACAUUGUGUGGACCAGCUUAUAUGAGAUGGAUGUACGCCCUAUUGAACGUCAUAUGAAAAUAUUAAAAAGGGUACGUGAAGAAACGCGAAGUCGACCAGAAGGUUGUAUGGUUGAAAGAUACAUUGUUUGAAGAAGCGAUUGUUAGCUUUGUAGCUUGAAUAUUUGUCUAAUGUUCAGUCAUCUCGACUCGCCUAAGUCCUCAAACUUGUCGAAAAGGAAAGAAGGAAAAAAUCUAAUUGGAAAUAAAAUCGUGGCCGUAUCAAAGGGUGCGAAACGGGAGAUCACAGUGCAUUUGUAUGUUCUGCACAAGGAGAAUGAGGUCUGAGCCGUAGUGUUGAAAUUCACAAGGAUGUUGCUCUGAGGUUUUAAAUCCCAAUAGACAUGAAAAUUGAUAGUACGGAGAGCACAAUCCGAUGUUUUACUACCUGGUUUAAGGUUAUCAUAUUUAUUCAAAAGUAUUAUUCAGAUCCCGCUUCAAUACAGAAACGUUUGAGAUGCUAGCAUAUGGGUCCAAGUUUCCAGUGUUUUUUCUUACUAGCGCAUACGCGAUUAAUGGAUUACACAUUUUUUUAUACCAAAGAAACAAGAUAUGAUAAAAGUACUUGCAAAACAGUGGUGUCACCGUGGUAUUCUGAAGCAAUAGCACAUAUCAAGUUGAUGAAAGGAACUUAAACCCCAAAUUUGCAAAUCUGUCAGUAUUUUUGGUGUUAUCCGAGCGCAUUUGGGUGUUGAUUAUGAGAAGUUUUCAGAUCCUUUAUAUUUGGUUGCAAGUGGGUUGAAAACAAUAACGGAUUAUCGAAUGGAUAAGUCAGGAUUUUUUGCAAAGUGGAUAUUUAAUAGGGUGGGAUACACAAAGAUGAGGUCUUUUAUUCUAGUCUCUUCAAGCUUAGACAAGUGUUCUAUGUCAAUGAUCCGAAAAGUACGAAAUGGUCUAUAGUUACUUUUUUCCAAACAAAGUAAUUGAUGAAAACACUGGAGAUCAAGGUGAUAUUGAUGUUGGAUUGAGUCGUUUUACCAGAAAAUGAUCAAGAUCGAGAAUAUUAUAUCAAAUGAUUCAUAUUAGAAUGAUCUAAUGAGGGUAUUGGAUCAAUUCCAACCGUCCGUGUUGUUAAGAGACAUGUAGGAACAUAUUCCAAACCAGAAAAGGAAAGAGAACUUAGUCGAAAAGGUACAGCGUCAAAUGAUUUUAAUUGUUUCUUUAUUACAGUAAAAAUGACUUUUAUGAUUUAAUUGUUUUUACAUUUUCAUGCUGAUUUUAAUUGUUUUCUUUAUUACAGGUAAAAUGGCUAUUAUGAAGUCAAUCAUUCGUGCAAGGGCAAGGAUACUUGAAAGUAUCAAUGAUAUUUGUUUAGAUGGAGAUGUUUCCAUUGUCGUCAAGCCUCAUUCGCGUAGAUGAUGAUGCUGGAUAUUUGAAGUAUCCCUCUACGACAAUGGAACAUGUCCAUCUAAACAAUAUUCAAUUCUAUCUUCAAAGAUAAGGACCAAAAAUAUAAGGGGAUUACGCAGCAAUCGAGUCAGUUGCAUAAAAAAAAAGGUAUAAACACAAUUAUAUGAUAUUUAUGCAUAGAAAUGUUAAUUCUUGAUCUUAUACAUCACCUACUAAUUUUAUGAUAUUUUAGGUUCAUGCUAUUGAUAUUGAACAAAAGAGGUUGUUGCUAAGAAGACUGCUGCUAGCAAAAAAAACAUACAUCUCAGAGAUGCUUUUUGCUACUUAGUUUUAUUUCUUUUUAAGUUAUGAAUUGGUUGUAUAUUUAGAAUCUUUAGAAGUUAAACGAUUAUGUAUCAUGGAUGUUGUAUAUGUAUGGAUUGUUGAUAUUAAGGCUUGUUGAAUGCAAUGUGUGAAAAAGGGCUUCAAAUUAUACAGUUUUGGUGUACUGCUUCAAUAUACAGGUUGUCUAAAAUAAAUAAAAAAAUAUAGCGCUUUUUAAAAAAAAAAAUUAAAUAACCACCCACUUUAGAGGGCGCUUCCCAAAUAAAGCGCCCUCUAACCCUUUAAAUUUCCACUUAGAGGGCGCUUCAGUAAAGCGGCCCUCUAAACCCUAAAAAGUUUCCACUUUAGAGGGCGGUUUCUAGUAAAAGCGCCUCUAAAACCUUAAAUGUUUCCACUUUUAGAGGGCGCUUUCUUUAAAAAGCUCCCUCUAAAGUGGCCCAUAAAGGGCUUAAAGAGCCACUUUAGACAGCGCUUUCACCAGGAAAAAAAGUGUUGUCUUUACUAUGCCAGCGCCAGAUUAGAGGGCGCUUUAAAGCGCUGUUAUAGGCCAAAAAAGCGCCCUCUUUUCCUUAUUUGGCGUAGUGGUCUAAUUUUUAGGCCCGCCGAUCCUCCACUAUCACCGCCCCGCCUCGUCCCGUUUUUUUGCGGGAUUUUACGGACGGACAUAAACGGGACGAUAUGCCCGUUUGCCACAUUACGCACUACUGAUACAAUAAUAUAUAAUAUAAGAUCAUUGUCUAAUUUCUCAUAACUGUCAAACGAAUAUAUACAACAAAUUACCCAAACUACCCAAACUACAUGCCUAAAGAUUAAGAUAUAUUGAUGAGGAAGUUACGUAUGAGAUAUGUUAUUAAAAUAUAACAUUCUAGGAGCUACGUAUUUUGUCAGCUAAUGACAUAGUCAAUUACAUCAGUUAAUUGUUGUUAAUAAUUACAUACUAAAAACAACAGUUAAUUAUUAACACAUAAAAAGGACUGCAUGAUGCAAACACAACUGUCAUGGUAAGUUAAUCAUGCAAAAGGGGACAAACCAAUCACUCUCAUGAUUUUUAUGGAAAUUGUCUUCUUUGUGAAAACACACUAUAAAAAAUGUGUUUUAUUACGAGGAUUUCAAUCCCAAAAAAUUGUAUUACCGGAGUUUUUGAAAACCGCCGUUAUACCCACCGUUCCCAAAUAUAUUCGCAAGAAUUUUAGGUAAACCGCUUGAUAUCCUAUUUAAACUGGAGAAAUUUAUAUUUUGAAGGUCGAAAACUCUUGUAAAUUAUUAUUAAUGUGAAAAAAAAUAACAACUCUUUAGAUUUCAUUUGGAAAUAUAAUUAUGACAAAAUCAAAUGAUAUGUAUAUAAAAAUUACGCUGAUACAACUGAAAAUUCUUAAUGGCCAAAAUAAAAUAUAAUCCUAAAUAAAGAACAAUUAAACAUUCCAAGAUGAAACAAAUCAUACUCAACAUAACUUUACAACAUAUCAAGUAUUAAGUAUAUGUAAUAUCUUAUUAUUUCAUAAAGAAAACUCUAGUUCCAAGAAGUUUACAAUGAUCGUUUUUUUAUACAUCAUAAAAAACGUCAUUAUAAAGAGUUUGCAAAGAAAACGCAACCAUUGGAAAAUAAGAAUUUAAAAUUUUCCAUUUCUAAAAUAAUAAAAGUUAUACUAUAAUAGGAAGCUCCAAUUAGAUUAUUAAAUAUAAGUAAACUUCAUUGCUGGUGGCAACUCCUGGUUCUUGUUCCUUUACUCUGGAAGAAUGUUUCUUUACAGAUGAAGUUUCUAAGUAUCACUUGUAAUGCUUAACAUAUAUUAUCAAAGAAAAAUAAAUAAAUAAAUAUUUCAAUUGCCUUAUUUUAUUUUAUUACCAAUAUUUUAAAGUAAAAGUCUUACAUGUAUGGUCUUCUGAAAUUUUGUAAAAAAAAUAAAGUAUACUUAUUAUGGUUAGUUACAACAAUUCUUGGCAACUAGGAAUAUUUUAUUAUAAAGUUGUGUAAGAACUCAUUUUUUNNNNNNNNNNNNNNNNNNNNNNNCUAUAAUUUUAUCCUUUUUACCAAUAUCUUUAAAGUACAGAGAAUCUUACUAUGUAUGUCUCGCAUACCAAUUAUUCGUAACAAAAAUAGAAAGGUAGGUGGUUACUAAUUUAUGGUUAGAUUACAACAAUAUUCACUUGGCCACUAGCGCAAUAUUCAUUUAUAAUAGUUGGGUGCUAAGAAACUCAGUUUGGUUGGGCACUUAUAUUGACGCCCAACUUACUUCUUUACCAUAGAAAUUCGACAUAGGAUUGUCAGAGCUGCACGUGUCGCAGAGGGGUGUUGUAAUACGAUUUAAUUAAUAUAGGAAUAUCGUCUAUCUUGUAUCAUACAAUUAUCAAAUCUAUUUUCGAACCAUUCAACUAUUUACUGUAAUAAAAUUGAACCAAGAUAACAGAAUAAUAUUAAUAACUUUAACCAAUAAAAAAAUUGAGGUUUCUAUGUAAAAAAAUAUAAAGCUCAUAAAUUUAAAAGGUUACGAAAAUGAUCCAUAGCUGCAAAUGUUGUCUUAUUCAAUUACACCAAAAUCACAGAGCUCAGAUGAAAAUCAUAAACAACCAUGGAACAAUAUUUCGAGAGAGUAUUAGAUUCUCUCUCUCUCUUUCUUUUUCAUGUAUUGACCCCAACUUCUUUCUUUCCUAGAAAUCGACAUAGAUUGUCAAUGCACUUCACGAUGUGAGAUUUAUUAAUAUUAGGAAACGUUUCUUGACAAAAUUCAUCUGUUUCGCAUUCAACUUUUACUGUAAUAAAAUAACAAAAUAAAGAAUAAUAUUAAUAGAAAAAAUAAAAAAUUGAGUUCAAAGUAAAAAAAAUAAAGCUCAAAAUUUAAAAAGGUUAGAAAAAUAUCUUACUGCAAAUGUUUCUUUCAAUAAAAAAUACAGAAAUCAAUAAAAUCAUAAAAUGAACAAUAUUGAGAAAUUUAGUCAUAUUUUCUCUUUUUGCAUGUUAUAGUUAUAAUAUGAUAUGAUCAAUUUAUAGUGUAUAAUCUUAUCCUAAGUUAAAAUAAAUUAAUUAUCUUUAGCCCUUGAGAAAUAGGGAAAAACAUCAUUAAAUUGCUAAUGUGUAUAUUUUUAUUAGAUUAAUGUGUUAUGUUUGUCCUUUGACACAUUAAAGAGUAACAUGCAAAACUUUCUUAUCAUUAGAAUUCACUCUUCUUAAAUUAAUAGAGAAAUAAUAUUUUAUUUAUUUCUAAAAUAGUUACAAACGCAUAGUUUACCGAUAGUUAAACUUAUUGUAAGUUUUUUUUUAAAGAUAAAAUCAUUUGAUUUUAGGAAAUGAAUAUUAAAUUUUGUAGUUAUUUGAUUUUAGGGUUGGAGAAUUCGUGUGGUUCAAUUCGAUAAGAAUUAGUCCAAUUCAAAAUUUGACUCGAGUUCAACCCGAUUUUUUUAAAGGUUAAAUUCACGAAUAAUUUAUUUCAAUUCGAUAGGUUCAACUUCCUGCUCUACAGAUUAAAAAUCCAUUUUUUUAAAUCUAUUUUUCAUUUAUAUUUGACAUUUUAAAUUAAUAAUUUUUGUAAAAGAAAAAUAUUUAAAUAUAAUAAAAAUUAUAAGAUUAAAAUUUAACUUUUUCUCAAAAAUCCUUAAUGUUUUUAUUUAUAAGAAGAAUUUUAUUAAAUUAAAAAUUUUAAUUUUUAAUUACUCUAUACAAUUUUUUUUUACAUGAUGAUGAAUUUAUUUGUAUAAUUAUUUUAAAUAUAUUUUGUUCACUUGGGAAUAUAAAUGAUCAAUUAAAACCGUCAAAUUAAAAGAAAAAUUAGAAGAUUUAUAGUAAGGUUUUAAGCAUAUUCUUAGAGUCAAUAUAAUUUAUCUCAUAUAUAAUCGAGUUGAUUCAUGAACCUAAUGACUUGAGUUAUACAUAGUUCAAAUCUACCUCAUUUAAUUAAGAAACUUAAUUUUUUGUUCAUAUUCAGCUCAUUUAGUUCAUGAACCUAGUUCAAUGAUUUAGUUUUCGAAUUGAAUUUUGAAUUAUGUUUGAAUUUGUCUAGUUCAUUGAUAGCUCUAUUUGAUUUCGUAACAUUAUCAUUCACAUAAAUCUUGUAAUAACCCAUAUAAUAUAUAUCUAGAAUAAUAUCAUACAAGUUUUAUUAUUUUUUUGGUACUAUCACAACAUAAGUGCCUAACGACAUCUUUAUAUACAUGCCCAUAAAAUAAAAUACAACAUAUGGAACAUGUCAUGCGAUAGUGCCUAAAUAAAGAUCUAAGAACUAUGUAUAAUAUCUACAAUUAUACAAAUCUACUGUAGAAGAUCAUAAUAAAAUCUUUCCUUGAAACAUCAAUGCACAACUCCUCUUGUACAAUAUAUCCUAUAAACAAUACCUGGAAAAAAACAAUAAUAUUGGGGUGAGAUAAUAAUCUCAGUGAGUUCUUCUAUCUUAUGGGUUCACUCGACUCUAUAGAGUUUUCUAAUCGAUUUCCUAACUCAAGUCACAAAGGGGGAAAUCUGGAGUUCCCAAAACUCGCAAUGUAUAGAAAUACGCCUCUUGAGUUCAUCGACUCAAACAAUCACUAAUCAAAAACCAUUACAAGGUAUCUUCCCCCGUCCAACCCUACGUCUAGGAUUAUCGACAUGGAUCAUGAAUCCUUGUAUAUACUUUGAAAUACGCACAGACUUCGAAUUCUAAGUGAUCACAUCCACUUCAAGAAUCGUCGCUUCCUGUGGGACUCAAAACUCAUUUCAAAACUUUUACUCGUAUGGGACUCAUCCCACUUUGGGAUCUACCGCCUUUGGGACUCACGCCCAGGUCAUAAGUAUUGGUGUGUACGUCCCAAUUCUUACUAUAUAUGAGCAUCACAACUUGGGACAACACAAUCAACGGGUUAUUUCUGACUAUGUGACAAGAUAGAAAUACAACGUAAUUGUAUUCAAAAAUCACAAGGUAAUCACGUUCAUCUUCAUCACACAACAACACAACAUGUUCCAUACAAUGCAUCCCACUCUCAACUAUGGCAACGAUCCAUCCAUGACACUCAACUAGGUAUCAUAUAGAAUAAACGCCGCCAUCUAACGUUAUUUAUGCCAUAUGUCUAACUUCUUAACCUAAUUAGAACUCUAGGUUAACUCACAUUAUUCAUCAUGUUUCUCUCUCAUAUAUUGUUGAUUUAAUACAUACAUAUCAUAACAUAUGUCAUAAGGCACACAUAUGGAAAAGAUAGCAUAUUCCAUUUAUCCCAAACAAAAUGCAAUAAAUUACCAUGAUCAUAUAAAGCUUUAAACAAGCUUUCUAAUGCAUUUGACCGCACAUCGAACAGAUUUAUGAAACUCAAGUUAUGCCACAAACAAUGCAGAGGAAUAACACAAAAACCAGUUAACCGUGCUAAGCGCCAUCUGAGCAUGCUAUUGUGAUUUGAGAAUGUUAUCUGGAGAAUUGUGUCACCCUUUUUGAGUAUUUUAUUCUGCAUAUUUUAUAAAUUAAAUGUCUGGGGUUUAUGGUUUUACAACCAGACCCCAACCAUAUACAAUUGAUCAAAGUAUUUCAUUUCCCUUAAGCGGUGAGCGAUCGUCCUCUUGAUUUCCGUAACGUCGUUGGCUCCUUUUCUUCAAACAAUAAUCGAAUUUGUUUCUUAGUCUAAUAAUCGAAAUCUUUCAAAUAUAUAUUCAAAUAAACAAAAAAGUAUUUGGACAAAUAAUCAAAUAAUGCAAGCACAAAUAAACCUUCGACAUCAUAUAUCAGACCUAUAGCAACUUAUUAAGCUAAUGAUAACAGUCCUAAAGUAUCUUAAAUUAUUUUAUGCUAACCGUCCAAACGUAUAUAGAUAUUUUCCCCAUAUUUUGUUGUUAAGCAUUGUUGAAAGUCCACGACCGCUUCCUCCGAUCUUUGACUAGAACUUAAUUUCAAUAACCGUUGAAUUGUACAAAAUUUAUAAAAUAAUUAUAAUAUAAUUUACGCAGAAUUUCAUAAACUUGUUAUUACUUGAAAUAUUUACUUUAAAAUAUUUAAUAGUAACCUCCACUAUAUUUGAAUAAUUAUUAAACUCAAAUAUAAAUUAGACUAUAGCCUGUUUGGAUUUGUUGAUUUUAGAAAAUUAUCAAGAGUAUAUUUCUAAUAACCUUUUAAUUUUAUAAUAACACUUGAGCAUUAUAAUGACUUAAAAUGGUAAAAUUUAUCUUUUAUUAGGAUAUCAAUUUGGACUUUAUAAGUUCAAUACCUCUAUGCUGAAUGGAAAUUUAAAUAGAAAAUUUAAAAUAACCUUAUAUGAAUAAAAUAAUUAAAUUAAUAUAAUUAAAAUAAAAUGGACAUUAUAACGACUUACUAGUUACUUAUGAAAAUAAUUGUGGCGGCAAUGAAGCGUAUAAAAUCAAACUCCUUUGAAAUUUUAGAAGCAUUUUGACCAUAUAAUAGCUCUAAAAGCUAUGAACCAAUACUGUGAAAACCUCGAUAACAAAAACUAAUAUCGUUGUAUGAAGAAAAAAAAAUAGAGUGGUGAGAGAAAUGAAUUCUGAAUGGAUAAAUGAAAAUGGGGUGGAAUAAACCCUUAUAUAUACUAGUUGUAAGAUUUAUAUAUAUAUAUAUAAUAUAUAAUAUUAUAUAUAUAUAUAUAUAUAUAUUAUAUAUAUAAAUAUAUAUAUAUAUAUAUAUUAUAUUGAGAUUAAUUCUAUACGAUAAAAAGUUUACACCGUCGGUUCAUCACCAUCACCUGUUUGUAUUACUUUAUAGAUUUUUAAAUAAAAGUCAAACUUCUUUUAAUAUUCACGUCUAUAAUUAAGUGAUGGUGUAAAACUUUUUUACACCUGACAGUGAUUUCAAUUAAUAUCUCUCAUCUCUCUCCUCUCUCUCUUUUCUCUCGUCUCCUUCUCUCUCUCUCUCUCUCUCUCUCUCUCUCUCUCUCUCUGAUGGUUAUAAUUUGAUUUAAUGCUUGUAUUUUUUAAAUCUACACUUUUUUUACUAAUCCAUUCUGAAAAGUUAUUAAUACUUUGCAGAAUAAACUAAAAGAGAAAGAAGUGUUGGUUGAAGAAUUAUAAGCAUUGAACUAAAUUCUAACUGUUAAAGGAGAUACAGAUAAUGGAUUGUAGAAAGAUCGAAAAACAUUUAUUAAUGUAACUUGUUCUUCUAAUAUUACUCAAUUUAUUAUUUUAUUAAUAUCUAAUUAGAGUGAAAGGUUAUAUGUUUAUUGAGAAUUUAAUGAAAUAAGAAUUUCACAUAUUUUACGAUCAGACUUUAUAAAAAAACCUGUAAAACAAACAAAGAGUAAGCACGGAAUAAAGAAAGUCAGAGUAUAAAGAAAGAAAUACAUCAUAAGUAAAUAAGUGGUAAAAUGUAAACAAAAAAGGAUACAAAAAGAUGCACUAUAGGUUUAUAGAGGUUCGACUUAAUCACUUGACUUACUCAUCUCCUUGAAAAUUUCUUCAUGAGAGUUUAAAACCAGAGUUUAGAAAAAGUUUGUAGAACAAAAAUGAAAUAAGCAGUGGAAUAUAGAAAAUCGGAAUAGAAAGAAAGACAUACAUGAAAAGUAAAUUAAUUACUAAAAUAUAAAUAAAUAAGGGUAGAGAAAGAUGCACCAGCACUUUAUAGAGGUUCGACUUAACCACUUGACCUACUCAUCUCCCCGAAAAUUUCUUCUUGAGAGUUUCCACUGUGUUGUGAGGUUUUUACAAGUUUUUCCCACGAAUCUCCUUAAAAACAAACUUGAGUUUUAAAAUGGAUAAUCUCUAAACUAAACUUAGAAUUUUUUCCCACGAGAUGUUGUACAAGAUUAAUCCCAAACAAGAUGAGAGUUUUUAUACCAAGCGUAGCUCAGAAACCAAGUGGAGGUUUUAACGAAUAGGUGAAGCUCACGAACUAUGUGGAUAUUUCAACAGACAAUCUCUUGAAUCAAACAAGAGCUUUUACAAUAGGAAAAGUUCAAGAACAAAAAGUGAUAUUUGAACGGACAAUCCCAUAAACUAAACAAGAGCUUUUUAACUUGGUUUUGAUCAUAAUCAAACUAAAAAUAUCACAAGAAAUAUUACAAAAUUACCCUCACAUCCGAACCAAAUAACUCACAUGUAAAUUUCACUCUCAAAUCACUACGGUAAAAGCGAGGAAGAACUAAAGAGAGAGAAGAGAGUGAAUAAUGAGAAGGAGUGGUCAAAAUACAUUUUAUAGUAUGUAAGAAAUGAGAAAUCAUCCUUCUAUUUAUAGGACAAAGUGUGAUACAAAAAUGUAAAGAAUUCAUGGACUUUUUAAUAUUCACAACCAAUAAUGCAUAUGACAUAAUCGAUUAUGCAAUUCAAAUAUUUAAUGUUUUUAAAUGACACUUUCACUUAUCAAUUGUAGCUCCGUCUAAUCGAUUAGGGUUACAUAAGUGAUAAUUGAUUAAUCAAGUGUGAUAAUCAAUUAUGUCAUGUAAAAAUCCUCUUAGUGUGAUAAUCAAAAAGGUUUUCAAGUAGUUUUACUAAAACCGGAGAGGAUUUUCGAUCAUUCAAACGGUGUAAUCGAGCUACUGAAACAAAAAAGAUAUAAUAUAAGAUCAUUGUCUAAUUUCUCAUAGACUGUCAAAGGAAUGUAUACAACAAAUUUCCCAAACUACAUGCCUAAAGAUUAAGAGAUACCUAUGUUGUCAGCUAAUGACAUAGUCAAUUACAUCAGUUAAUUAUUAACACAAUAAAAAUGGAACUGCAUGGUGCAAACACAACUGUCAUGCUAAGUUAAUCAUGCAAAAGGGUGACAAACCAAUCACUGCUCAUGAUUUUUUAUGGAAAAUUGUCUUCUUUGUGAAAAGACACUAUAAAAAAUGUGUUUGAUUACGAGGAUUUUCAAUCCCAAAAAAUUGUAUUACGGGAGUUUUGAAAACCGCCGCUAAUACAGGUCCCAAAUAUAUUCGCAAGGAUUUUAGGUAACCGCUGAUAUCCUAUUUAAACCGGAGAAAUUUUUAUUUUGAAGACUCUUGUAAAUUAUUAUUAGUGUGACAAAAAAUAACAACUCAUUAGAUUUCAUUGGAAGUAUAAUUAUGAUAAAAUCAAAUGAUAUGUAUAUUAAAAUUAUGCUGAUACAACUGAAAAUUCUUAAUCGCCAAAAUAAAAUAUUAUCCUAAAUAAAGAACAUUAAACAUUCCAAGAAUGAAACAAAUCAUACUCAACAUAACUUUACAACAUAUCAAGUAUUAAGUAUUAUGUAAUAUCUUAUUAUUUCAUGAAAGAAAACUCUAGUUCCAAGAAGUUAUAAUGAUCGUUUUUUAUUACAUCAUAAAAGAAACGUCAUUAUAAAGAGUUUGCAAAGAAAAGCUACAUGAAUAAAUGAAUUUUUCCAUUUCUAAAAUAAUAAAAGUUAUUACUAUAAUAGGAAGCUCCAAUUAGAUUAUAAAAUAUAAGUAAACUUUCAUUGCUGGUUGCAACUCCUGGUUCUUGUUCCUUUACUCUGGAAGAAUGUUCUUUACAGAUGAAGUUUCUAAGAUCACUUGUAAUGCUUAACAUAUAUUAUCAAAGAAAAAUAAAUAAAUAAAUAUUUCAAUUGCCUUAUUUUAUUUUAUUACCAAUAUUUUAAAGUACAAAGUCUUACAUGUAUGGUCUCUGAAAUUUUGUAAAGAAAAAUAAAAAGUAUACUUAUUAUGGUUAGUACAACAAUUCAUUGGCAACUAAGGAAUAUUUUAUUAUAAAGUUGUGUAAGAACUCAUUUUUCAUGUAUUGACCCCAACUUCUUUCUUUCCUAGAAAUUGACAUAGAUUGUCAAUGCACUUCACGAUGUGAGAUUUAUUAAUAUUAGGAAACGUUUCUUGACAAAAUUCAUCUGUUUCGCAUUCAACGUUUACUGUAAUAAAAUAACAAAAUAAAGAAUAAUAUUAAUAGAAAAAAUAAAAAAUUGAGUUCAAAGUAAAGAAGGUAAAGAUCAAAAUUUGAAAAG
rnacentral:lncRNA from 1 species